GGUUAAGCGACUAAGCGUACACGGUGGAUGCCCUGGCAGUCAGAGGCGAUGAAGGACGUGCUAAUCUGCGAUAAGCGUCGGUAAGGUGAUAUGAACCGUUAUAACCGGCGAUUUCCGAAUGGGGAAACCCAGUGUGAUUCGUCACACUAUCAUUAACUGAAUCCAUAGGUUAAUGAGGCGAACCGGGGGAACUGAAACAUCUAAGUACCCCGAGGAAAAGAAAUCAACCGAGAUUCCCCCAGUAGCGGCGAGCGAACGGGGAGCAGCCCAGAGCCUGAAUCAGUGUGUGUGUUAGUGGAAGCGUCUGGAAAGGCGCGCGAUACAGGGUGACAGCCCCGUACACAAAAAUGCACAUGCUGUGAGCUCGAUGAGUAGGGCGGGACACGUGGUAUCCUGUCUGAAUAUGGGGGGACCAUCCUCCAAGGCUAAAUACUCCUGACUGACCGAUAGUGAACCAGUACCGUGAGGGAAAGGCGAAAAGAACCCCGGCGAGGGGAGUGAAAAAGAACCUGAAACCGUGUACGUACAAGCAGUGGGAGCACGCUUAGGCGUGUGACUGCGUACCUUUUGUAUAAUGGGUCAGCGACUUAUAUUCUGUAGCAAGGUUAACCGAAUAGGGGAGCCGAAGGGAAACCGAGUCUUAACUGGGCGUUAAGUUGCAGGGUAUAGACCCGAAACCCGGUGAUCUAGCCAUGGGCAGGUUGAAGGUUGGGUAACACUAACUGGAGGACCGAACCGACUAAUGUUGAAAAAUUAGCGGAUGACUUGUGGCUGGGGGUGAAAGGCCAAUCAAACCGGGAGAUAGCUGGUUCUCCCCGAAAGCUAUUUAGGUAGCGCCUCGUGAAUUCAUCUCCGGGGGUAGAGCACUGUUUCGGCAAGGGGGUCAUCCCGACUUACCAACCCGAUGCAAACUGCGAAUACCGGAGAAUGUUAUCACGGGAGACACACGGCGGGUGCUAACGUCCGUCGUGAAGAGGGAAACAACCCAGACCGCCAGCUAAGGUCCCAAAGUCAUGGUUAAGUGGGAAACGAUGUGGGAAGGCCCAGACAGCCAGGAUGUUGGCUUAGAAGCAGCCAUCAUUUAAAGAAAGCGUAAUAGCUCACUGGUCGAGUCGGCCUGCGCGGAAGAUGUAACGGGGCUAAACCAUGCACCGAAGCUGCGGCAGCGACGCUUAUGCGUUGUUGGGUAGGGGAGCGUUCUGUAAGCCUGUGAAGGUGUGCUGUGAGGCAUGCUGGAGGUAUCAGAAGUGCGAAUGCUGACAUAAGUAACGAUAAAGCGGGUGAAAAGCCCGCUCGCCGGAAGACCAAGGGUUCCUGUCCAACGUUAAUCGGGGCAGGGUGAGUCGACCCCUAAGGCGAGGCCGAAAGGCGUAGUCGAUGGGAAACAGGUUAAUAUUCCUGUACUUGGUGUUACUGCGAAGGGGGGACGGAGAAGGCUAUGUUGGCCGGGCGACGGUUGUCCCGGUUUAAGCGUGUAGGCUGGUUUUCCAGGCAAAUCCGGAAAAUCAAGGCUGAGGCGUGAUGACGAGGCACUACGGUGCUGAAGCAACAAAUGCCCUGCUUCCAGGAAAAGCCUCUAAGCAUCAGGUAACAUCAAAUCGUACCCCAAACCGACACAGGUGGUCAGGUAGAGAAUACCAAGGCGCUUGAGAGAACUCGGGUGAAGGAACUAGGCAAAAUGGUGCCGUAACUUCGGGAGAAGGCACGCUGAUAUGUAGGUGAAGUCCCUCGCGGAUGGAGCUGAAAUCAGUCGAAGAUACCAGCUGGCUGCAACUGUUUAUUAAAAACACAGCACUGUGCAAACACGAAAGUGGACGUAUACGGUGUGACGCCUGCCCGGUGCCGGAAGGUUAAUUGAUGGGGUCAGCGCAAGCGAAGCUCUUGAUCGAAGCCCCGGUAAACGGCGGCCGUAACUAUAACGGUCCUAAGGUAGCGAAAUUCCUUGUCGGGUAAGUUCCGACCUGCACGAAUGGCGUAAUGAUGGCCAGGCUGUCUCCACCCGAGACUCAGUGAAAUUGAACUCGCUGUGAAGAUGCAGUGUACCCGCGGCAAGACGGAAAGACCCCGUGAACCUUUACUAUAGCUUGACACUGAACAUUGAGCCUUGAUGUGUAGGAUAGGUGGGAGGCUUUGAAGUGUGGACGCCAGUCUGCAUGGAGCCGACCUUGAAAUACCACCCUUUAAUGUUUGAUGUUCUAACGUGGACCCGUGAUCCGGGUUGCGGACAGUGUCUGGUGGGUAGUUUGACUGGGGCGGUCUCCUCCUAAAGAGUAACGGAGGAGCACGAAGGUUGGCUAAUCCUGGUCGGACAUCAGGAGGUUAGUGCAAUGGCAUAAGCCAGCUUGACUGCGAGCGUGACGGCGCGAGCAGGUGCGAAAGCAGGUCAUAGUGAUCCGGUGGUUCUGAAUGGAAGGGCCAUCGCUCAACGGAUAAAAGGUACUCCGGGGAUAACAGGCUGAUACCGCCCAAGAGUUCAUAUCGACGGCGGUGUUUGGCACCUCGAUGUCGGCUCAUCACAUCCUGGGGCUGAAGUAGGUCCCAAGGGUAUGGCUGUUCGCCAUUUAAAGUGGUACGCGAGCUGGGUUUAGAACGUCGUGAGACAGUUCGGUCCCUAUCUGCCGUGGGCGCUGGAGAACUGAGGGGGGCUGCUCCUAGUACGAGAGGACCGGAGUGGACGCAUCACUGGUGUUCGGGUUGUCAUGCCAAUGGCACUGCCCGGUAGCUAAAUGCGGAAGAGAUAAGUGCUGAAAGCAUCUAAGCACGAAACUUGCCCCGAGAUGAGUUCUCCCUGACUCCUUGAGAGUCCUGAAGGAACGUUGAAGACGACGACGUUGAUAGGCCGGGUGUGUAAGCGCAGCGAUGCGUUGAGCUAACCGGUACUAAUGAACCGUGAGGCUUAACCUU
rnacentral:rRNA from 1 species